rnacentral:rRNA from 1 species
UGGGGAAUUUUGGACAAUGGGCGAAAGCCUGAUCCAGCAAUGCCGCGUGUGUGAAGAAGGCCUUCGGGUUGUAAAGCACUUUUGUCCGGAAAGAAAUCCUUGGCUCUAAUACAGUCGGGGGAUGACGGUACCGGAAGAAUAAGCACCGGCUAACUACGUGCCAGCAGCCGCGGUAAUACGUAGGGUGCAAGCGUUAAUCGGAAUUACUGGGCGUAAAGCGUGCGCAGGCGGUUUGCUAAGACCGAUGUGAAAUCCCCGGGCUCAACCUGGGAACUGCAUUGGUGACUGGCAGGCUAGAGUAUGGCAGAGGGGGGUAGAAUUCCACGUGUAGCAGUGAAAUGCGUAGAGAUGUGGAGGAAUACCGAUGGCGAAGGCAGCCCCCUGGGCCAAUACUGACGCCCAUGCACGAAAGCGUGGGGAGCAAACAGGAUUAGAUACCCUGGUAGUCCACGCCCUAAACGAUGUCAACUAGUUGUUGGGGAUUCAUUUCCUUAGUAACGUAGCUAACGCGUGAAGUUGACCGCCUGGGGAGUACGGUCGCAAGAUUAAAACUCAAAUGAAUUGACGGGGUCAUAGCUGUUUCCU